CUCACUUUACAUGCGUUUUAUUCGUACAGUGUUUAUGAGGUAGAGAUUUCAAAUCUUCAUUGUGUUGCCGAUGUCGAUAACAAAUCGGUAUCUGACAUCUGUUUUCAUAAGCCGCUCCAUGGCUGUGUUCACAUAAUCCAUCGAGAUAACCUCAAUGUCUGCCGUGAUGUUGUUCUUGGCAGCAAAAUCAAUCAUCUCCUGUGUUUCCUUCAUUCCUCCUAUGCAACUCCCACCCACUAUUUUUCUUCCUGCCAAGCCAAUAACAUGGAAUUCGUCGCUGUCAGCUCAAUACCAAAAUAAAUUUGGAACACAUAAUGAGAUGCAUGCAUAUAUACAUACCCAUGAGCAGAGGAAACACUGGUAGCUCAAGUGGCUUCUCAGGCGCACCAACCAAGACCAGCUUUCCUUGAGUCUUCAAUAGACUAAUCAGAGGCAAGAUAGGAUGCAUGGCCGACACCGUGUCAAUUACACCAUCCAUUGUGCCCUUUGCAGCCUGAAUAACAAGCAAUACUAUAUUAUGUUUGAUGUUUAAUUGGUUUUACAGAUACAAGGAAUGUGCUCUGAACCAUGUUUAUAUACCUGCAUCUCAUCCUGGUCACGACUAACUAGAAACGAGUCAGCACCAAGAUGCUCAAGGGCUUCUUGUUUCUUCUUGGGAGAGGUGCUAAUAACUGUAACCUUGACCCCCAUGGCCUUUGCAAACUUUACAGCUACAUGACCUAGCCCGCCGAGCCCAACCACGCCCACAUGCAUACCCGGUUUGUCAAGAUUAAAAAACCUCAAGGGGCUGUAAACUGUAAUCCCAGCACAUAGGAGAGGCGCAGCGGCAUCUAGAGGUAGGUUGUCUGGAAUACGAACUACGAAGUGCUCAUCCGUGACCAUGCUGUUCGAGUAGCCUCCGUACGUGGUGGUUCCAUCGGAGUAUUUGGUACUGUAGGUGAGUAUCAUUUUUGGGCAAUAAUUCUCGAGAUUGUUGUUGCAACUAUCGCAAGAGUGGCAUGAUCCAACCAUGCACCCCACCCCCACUUUGUCUCCAACUUUGAACUUCUCAACUUUGCUUCCUACCUCUGUCACUUCCCCAACAAUCUCAUGCCUGCAGUGCCAAUUUAAUUUAAUUAACCCUCAGAUGCAAUGCAUGGAUGAAUUUAGUCCAGUCAAAGUUCCUCUAAACAUUUUCCUUGGACUGCCAAUUGCCAUUCAUAAUGUUUAUGUGCAAAAAAAAAUGAGAAAUAACUAUAUAUACGGUCAUAGAUUUUUCGUACUGUGUGUACAUACCCGGGAACUAGAGGGUACAUGGAAGUACCCCACUCAUUCUUGGCCAUAUGAAGGUCUGAGUGACAUAUUCCACAAAACAGCACCUUGAAUCGCACAUCCUUCUCUCCUGUAGACCUGUUGCAAGAAGGUUUUUCUUGCUUAGCAUAAACCGCAAGUGAAAAUGAGAGAUAUUCAUAGGUAGAAAAUCAAUCAGAUCGCCAUUCACCUACCAUAAUAUUACUAAAAAUAUAAAGCUAUAACAUGUGAUUCAAUAAACUUAUUUCACAUAUUAAAAAUAAAAGACUGCCAUAUAUCUGAUGUAGCCCAUCUUGCAGCUGCGCUGAAUGCUUGUUGGUGUUUAGAAAAACAAGAAGAAAAUGGAUCCAAGUAAACCGAGCUAGACGAAAAGAAAAAUAAAAUCCCAUAAUUAAAUAAAGCAGCGACAAGAUGGAGGAGAGGGAAUAACCUCCUGGAGAAUUUGAAAGGAGAGAGGACCCCGGAUUGGUCUCUGGCUGCCCAUCCAAAAGCCUUGUUAGGAUGUUCUUCCUCGUAAGAUUUUUCUGCCAUUUCCCCCCUCGUUUUGCUUUAUUUGGUACUGCCGAGAGAGCGUGCAUGGUGCACCUAUUUAUAAUGGCGGUUGGUCUGCCAUUGCGUAUUGGCAGGGAUGACAUACUGGGUGAGCUAAGCACCUUAAGUCGCUCAUCCGUGAGCUAAUCAAUUACCUUGAGAGAAAAGCCAUGUCCAUGUAGUCAUAUUUUAUUUUUUUCAUAAUCAUCAGAGUAUACUGAAAAGGCUAUAAAGCCAAUACUCAAAGUAAAAUAUAGGUAAAAAAAAGAAAAAGAAAAAAAAUAACAGACUUAUGUAACCAAAUAGUUCAAUAAAAACAAAGAGAUUACUUAAAAUUUCUUCUUACACCAGAAUUUGAUGUCAUCAAAAGAUCCUAAGAGGUCUUUUCCUGUAUAAGUGAAGUUUGAAUCUAGAAUAUAUAACCAAAUAGCAACCCGAUGAAGGAUGAUGAAGAAGUAAUCAAACAAGCUUAUGGAUCCCUCCUUAAAAACAAUUUUGUUUCUCAACAACCAAAUACCCCAAGUAGUACUGCUGGAGAUUAGUCUCCAAGCUAAUCUUUGGAAUUUGCCUUGCAUCAUUACGGGCCAUUGUAGAAGUAGCGAGUCUAGAGUGCUCGGUAAACAACAUUGGAUACCUCACAAAUCCAAAACUUUCAUCCAAACACUCCUAGAAAAGUUACAGUGUAUAAAAAGGUGCUCUGAAAUUUUCAAAUCUGAGCUGCAAAAGACACACGAAGCUUGUGUGGCAGACAAAACAUUCCGAUGAUAGAGAAAAGCUCUUGUACUAACUUUUUCCUGAAUUGCCAAUUAGAGAAACACCUGAACUUUCAGAGGGGCCCAUUUAAUCCAAACGUUGGCUUCAAAAUCUCUAUCAUUACUAGAGGAGGUACUAUCAAUGAGAAUGCAACAUGACUUAACUGAGAAGCUUCCAUCAUAAUUACAUGACCGCAUGAGUUUGUCAUCUUUUCCUUGCCGAAUUAUUAUUGGCUCCAGCAUUGAGAGCAAUUGAUGAUAUUGUUGCUCUUCCUAAGAUAACAGGUUCCUGUGCCAAACCAAAUUCCAUCGCCAAUGAUCAUUCACUUAUUGACCUAUCUCAUGAACCAAAUCAUUCUGAUUAGUUGAAACUUUGUAAAGCCUCGGGAAAAUGCUACAAAAGCAUUUGAUUCUAUCCACACGUUGGACCAAAAGAGAAUGGAGGACCCAAUCAUGAAUUUAAGGUUUUGACGCAAUACUAAGCCAAUAACACUGUUUGGAUCCAAAACCAACAAAAUAUCUUUCCAAAAUGGGGAAAUAUAACCAUGCAAUUUUGGGAUUCCAUUCUCGAAAGUUAUGGAGUAAAAUUGGAUGUUACCUAUUUUCAUAAGGCAUGGCUGGCGAGUGUAGUAAUAGUUACCUUGACUUCUCGGCUGAGAAAUUCCCCAUAAAGUUAUCUCAAGCAUAGUUUUUAAACUCGGCCCAGUGGCUGGCCCGGUCCAAGGCCCGGGUUCCGGGUUUUGAUCGGGUCAGCUGGUCGCCCGGGUCAAUUCCUAUUUUAAAAAAAAUCAAAACAACAUCGUUUUAGUUAAAAAAACAAAAUUCAACGGGUUGCAACCGAGUUUUUGACCGGGUUUUGCCAGGUCAACCCGUCGGGUCAGCCAGGUUACACCGGGUCACACCGGGUCAUGACUUUUUGUAUUUUUUCUUUAACUUGGCCCGAUUCCAGCCCCGGGUCAACCGAAUCCUUGAUCGACCCGCCAGAUCGGACCGGAUUUCAAAACUAUGAUCUCAAGUAUGUUGUCGCUUACUCUCAACUCUAUUUCCUUGCGUGAAUCAACAAGUGAAAAGAAAAAACACAUGUGAAUUUCCGGCUUCCAAAGCAAUGGUUGUGUGCCUCCCCAUAAAAUAAUAUAUUGGAAAAGUUAAUGUGAUUUUUAAUGCAUGAACUUUUAUGAUUUCCUUAGACGAUGCUUAAUUUUAUUUGAAUAGAUUUCCCAGAUUAAAAAAUAAAUAAAAUAUGGAUUUCCCUCCAUUUGUGUCAACAUAUCUCUUGUCAUGUGAUAUGGCAUGGUGAUGUGUCAACAAUUGCUUAAGACACAUUAACUUUAAAACUCUAAAUUAAUUUUUAAAAUAGUGUAAAUGUACCAGAGUUAAUGAUACGUUUCAUUAUAUUAUGUUUUUUCAUUGAAAAGUGUGAAAAAAGAUGUUAAUGUUUAUAAAAUAACAUAUCAUAUGUAAAAGUCCUUUAAUUAGAAAAAAAAAAAAAAAACAUGAUAAAUGAGCCCACUUUCGAACGGAUCGAAGGUGCAGGAGAUCAAUUCCAACUUUUUUAAGUUGAGGGAUGGGUUUUAUAAUGAUUUAAAAGUUCAGAAAUGUUUUAUCUAUUUAGCUAAAUAUUAAUUUGCAAGGAAGAUUUGAAUCUAGCCACUCCAUCUUUGUUGUAAUCUGGACCUGUACUGUCUUGCCUUUUUAUUGGUAACGGUAAAAUUUCUAUCACUCAAAUUUCAUUAUGGAUUAUUUUUAAACAUGAAAAAUAAAUAAAUCUUCGUAUAUUUCUUUGCUAAUAGAACAUUGACACAUGGAAUGAGAUAUUCAAGAUAUUUUAUCAUAAAUAUAGGAUCUAAUCAAUUAAUAUCAAUCAAUAAAAUUAUGUUAUGUGAUAUUGUAAAGAAACCUGAGAGCCUUUAUGAAACUCUAUAAAUAGAGGGUCUCAACCUAGAAAGAGAGAAAGAAUUCUUAAAGAUACAUAAUUUUUUUUAAGACAAGCACUUCAAAUAAAGAAACUUUCUUAAAAGCUAUCAAGACUCAUUCAUCUACGCUUGAAACAAGGGUGGAACUAGGAGGAGGCAAGCAAGCGCCCGGGCCCUGCAAAACAUUUUAAAGUUUUAUAUUAUUUAGUAUUUAAAUAUGGAAUAGUAUAAUAUUUUUAUUUUAAAUAUACUAUACUAUUCAAUAUAUAAUAAUUUUAAUUUUCUUUUAAGACAAGCACUUCAAGUAAAGAAGUUUUCUUAAAAGCUAUCAAGACUCAUUCAUCUACGCUUGAAACAAGGGCGGAACUAGAGGGAGGUAAGCAGGGCCCCGGCCCUGCAAAACAUUUUAAAAUUUUAUAUUAUUUAGUAUUUAAAUAUGGAAUAGUAUAAUAUUUUUAUUUUAAAUAAAUAAAUUUUUUAAUAAUAUAUCUUGUUAUAUUAAUUUUGGCCUACCCUAUUAAAUUCUACCAGCAACGCCCGUAGUUUGAAAAUCUACAAAGAACAAAGUUCUAUUAAACCAAAACAUAGACGCCACAUAAAAGUUCUUCAACAACGCUUUAAAAAUAAAUCAAUAGUAGUUUUUAAAAUAUCAAAUCAUCAAAUCUCGUUUCGCAAUACACGUUUAAAUUUACGUUCUUACAAAACACAAAUCUUGAUUUAAUUUCACAAAUAAAUUAGGUCAUCAUAUUUCUACCUCUUUUAUUUCUCAUUGCCUCUCCUUUUUUAUUCUCAUCUUCUCUUCUCGUAGUCUUUUUGUGGUUUUCAAUUUAUUAGGUUUUGAAUUCAUAUAUGGUUAGAUUUUGUACAGCUUUACUUGUUUCACAGUUAGAUUUGUGUGGCCUGAUAUGAACAUUGCUGCAUUGCUUCAUCGCCUUUAAAAUAAUUCAAUCUUUUAUUUUUCUUCUUCAACUCUCUGCUCUUCAUCGCCUUUAAAAUAAUUAAAUAGAACUGUUGACCAUUAGUGGGAUAAUGAAAGGGGUCUCUCACCUCACAAUCUCUUGAGAUAUGACUUCAGAUCGGAGCAAAAACUUGGAUCUCCUGAAAAUUAAACCCAGCCAUACACACGCAAACCUUGAAGCAUUAAAAAGCUUCUUUGGCUGUAGAUUACCCGUUUGGUUACAUGUACGUCCAUGUUUCAUGCGGUUUCAUUUUGCAAGCUAUUAGGUUAAUUAAACAAAUAUUUGUUAUUAUUCAUGGGUCCCAUGGUCUGCUGCGUUUGAAACGCAAGAAAAAGGAAAGCAGCUAGGAGCUGCUUCCUGCGCGACAAAAUGUUGAACCGUGCUCCACUGUUCACGUGAACAAUUUUUUUUCUUCAAAAAACCAGUGUAGUUAAUUGAUUUCACUCGCACUGUUCACGUGAACGUGAACAACAAUUUUUUUUUGUUUUUUAAAAAAAUUAGUUUAAAGUGAAUUAAAUUUACUCGUACUGUAAUCUCAAUUUUAUUCCUGAUAAUAUUUUACCUAAUUUUGUAGUUCUUGUCGGAUGAAUUUUGUACAUAAAGGAAUUGUAGAUAGUUUAAUAGAACAAUAAAAAAAUUUUAUAUAAAGUAUGAUUUAUUUCAUGAUGUAAUAGCAAUAGUUAAAUCCACAAUAUUUAAAUUAAAAACUAUCAAUAUUAAUAUAUAUUUUUUUAAAUUAUUUUAUAACCUCAAUUUCAAAAGCAUUCUUAACCAAACACAUUAAACUACUUUUUCUUCAAUCUCAAUUUCAACCACAGUUUUAACUAAACACCUAUUUUUUCAAACCAACCUCAACUAAAAGUACUUUUUAUAAAACAACUUUUUUCAAACCACAACCACAACAGCUACCGCAAUACCAAACACAAAAGCCCCUUAACAAAGAAAAUUGCAGUGUUAUCACGGUCUAUCAAAGCUUCACUUUCAUUAUAUAUUUUGAUUUGUUUUUUUAGAGUGUUGUUAAUUACAAUCUCAUUAUCUGAAUUAUGAAUUUGACAAGUUAAUCCAGAUUGAUCCAGUAUAUAACUAUUUCAAUAUUUAAAAAAAUCAUUUAAUAUGUUACCGAAUUAAUAUUUUAAAAAAACACACCAUUCAAUAAACAUUAUCUUUUAAGUUUAUAAUUAAUUUUUCUUAUUGAGAAACAUGUCAAUAACGCUUCAACAUUUGUUUUUAAAUAAUAAUAAUAAUUGUGGUGGUGGUGGUAAUAAUAAUAAUAAUAAUAAUAAUGACAAUGAUGAAACUAGUGGUAAUGAUACUAGCAGUACUAACAACAACAAUAAUAAUGGUAAUGAAAUUGAUAAUAAAAAACAACUAAAAAGAUAAGGGGUUUCUUUAUAGCUAUAGAAACAAUCAACUAUUCACUAAAAUUGUCAAGCGAGGUUUAUGACAUUCAAAUAAAACAAAAAAGACUUAACUUGGAGGCAUAUGUGUUUUUGUAUUUUUACAUAGUUUAUUAGUCAUUAUAAAUUUGACUAGGGGUAUUUUUACCUAUUCAAUAUUUUUAAUAACAAUAAAAUAAUAAAAAUACUUCCAAUGAUAAAAGAAUCAACACGGCAGGGCAAUAGUAUUUCAAUAUUUUUAUUUUUUUUAUAAAUAGUCAAAUUACACGUGCGGUCUUAAAUCCAAGAGAUAUUAGUAAUUGAGAUUAGGAGUAUUAGGAUCUUUUAGCCUAAUUUUUUUUUGCUUGUUAAUUGUAUGAUUGAUUGAAGGUAAAAACAUAAUUUAACAUUUAAAUAAUAUUUUUAAUUUAAAAGAAAUACUGGCAUGUUGGGGCACUACUCACUUUGGGUGGUGGCUCUCUGUUACGAUCCUAGUCUACUGUUGGGGAAGUCUGGUGGAAAAUAUUAUUUACUUACUAGUAUUUUGUUAUCAUUUACUUGGUCUUUUGUUUGAAAUAGUCAAUAAUGUUGCUGUUGCUAAUUCCUUAGAAGCAGGAGUCAAAAUAACUAGUUUGUUAAGUAACAAACUAUGAGUACAAGUAGGAGUAAACUGAGGAAGCAACUCCUCUAAUUUUCUGUAUUUAAAUCCUUGUUUUAAAUGAAAUGAUAUCAAAUUCAAUCAUUCAAGAAAAAACCACUGUCUUUUGGAGGCCAAGUUACCCUCGAAGUAGCUUAUAUUCUCUUAUCUCUAUUUAGUUGCCGGCUUAAGCUAAGGUUUAUAACAGUGGUAUUAGAGCUAAGCUUCUUCUGCCAUCUUCAUCAACAACCUUAAAACCCAAGACCCCUCCCCUUCUUAUAUAUAUGGCUAACCAAGACGCCCUGGGAACUCGUUUUAAUGUCUUAUCCGAAACAGUUUCCAAGCAAGGUUCAAUGUUGCAACAAAUCAACACCUAUAUAACUGAUAUUCAACAAUAAAUUACAGCCCUUACCUUAUCCAUUGAAAAGCUCACCAAAGAACCAAAAUCUAUGAGAGAAGAACACAUUGUUGGACCUUCAAUAAGGCAUUCACUGGCUUCUAAUUCUAGCGGGUUACCGACAAAGGGGCUAAAGAUUGAUCUCUUCAAAUAUGAUGGCACUGAAGACCCCUCUGGCUGGACUUUACUAGCUGAUCAAUACUUCCUGUUACAUCAGAUCCCUCCAGCCCAACGUCUCAUUUAUGCUUCGUUCCACUUGAAGGGAGCAGCACUCCAAUAUUACAAAUAUUUACAACAUGCAGGUGAGCUUAAUGAUUGGGUGUUGUUUAUCCAAGCUCUUGAAAAGCAGUUUGGACCUACAAAAUAUGAGGAUCCAGAGGGAGAACUGUCAAAACUUCGUCAAACUUCCACAGUUGCAGCUUACCAAAGUCAGUUUGAGAAUUUGGCUCAACGAAUCGAUGGUCUUCCUGACAGAUUUCUCACACGCACUUUCAUUCAUGGUCUCAAAGAUGACAUCAAGACAAAUGUUAAGUCAUUCCGCCCCACUUCUUUAAAAGAUGCAAUAGGUCUCACUCGUCUCCAGGAGAAGAGUUCCUCAAGAGAUCGUAGAAGUUUUCCAAGACCCCAAGCACCCACCCAGACAGUUCCAGACCCAAAGGUGAAAAAGAUAUAUUUUGAAGAGAUGAAGGAGCGCCGGGAAAAAGGAUUGUGCUACAAUUAUGACGAGAAAUUCAGACCUGGCCACAAAUCUAAAUCUCUUACUCUCUUCCUUAUUGAUGGAAACAAUUAUUUUGAUGAAGAUAUGGACUGCUCUCUUGAUAGCGAUGUUAUUCCACAUCUAGAGAUAUCUGUUCAUGCCAUUGCAGGUGCCAUGAACCCCCAUACUAUGCGUGUCCCUGGUUAUUAUCACAAUAAGCCUCUUUACAUACUACUGGACUCUGGCUCUACUCAUAACUUCUUGGAUCCUUCAGUUGCAUCAAAGCUCAAUCUUCCUAUUUCUUGUAAGACCUCCUUUGAUGUCAUGGUGGCUAAUUGAGAUCGCUUAUAUAAUGAGGGACAAUGUCAAAGUAUAUUUAUUGACAUUCGAGUUCCAGUUACCUCAGAUUUUUACCUCAUUUCUCUCGGGGGAUAUGAUGUUGUUUUGGGUGCAUAUUGGCUCCAGACCCUCGGUCCCAUUUUAUAGGAUUUCUCCAAACUGACCAUGGAAUUUUGUUACCAAGGGAAAACAUAUAGGGUGGUUUUUAUACCUACAAAGAAGUUGUAUGUCCUCUCAUGUCACAAAUUGGAGAAACUUUUUCAGGUCCGACCGCCAAUUCUGAUUCUAGAUGUUUCACAGAUUUAUGCCAUCGACAACGUUUAUGAAGUUCCACCCACCAUCUAGGCAGUCAUUGAUGGUUUUUCUGAUAUGUUUUGUCCACCAUCAGGUUUGCCUCCUACUCGGUAUUAUGAUCAUCGCAUUAUACUUCCUCCAGGCACAUCACCUACUAAUGUUCGACCCUACCGGUACUCGAUGCUUCAGAAGGCUGAAAUUGAACGCAUGGUCAAAGAGAUGCUCCAUGAGGGAAUAAUUCAUCCAAGUCAUAACCCAUUCUCAUCUCCUGUCUUGUUAGUUCGCAAACAUGAUGGCACUUGGCGAUUAUGUGUUGAUUACCGUGCUUUGAACGCUGUCACAGUCAAGGAUCAGUUUCCUAUACCUGUGUUUGAUGAGCUUCUUGAUGAGCUUCAUGGGGCAACCAUCUUCUCCAAAUUAGACCUGAGAUCAGGUUUCCACCAAAUCAGGAUAGCCGACGAAGACAUUCCUAAAACUGCAUUUAGGACCCAUGACGGCCAUUACGAGUUCCUUGUUAUGCCUUUCGGCCUCACAAACGCACCAUUAACUUUUCAAAGCCUCAUGAAUGAAAUCUUUCAUCCAUUUUUAAGACAAUUCAUUCUAGUCUUCUUCGACGAUAUCCUGGUUUACAGCCAUUCAGAGGAAGAGCAUGUCAUUCAUCUUCAAAAAACUUUGGAGAUCCUUCGUCUUCAUAAACUGCAUGCUAAGUUGUCUAAAUGCCAUUUUGGGUGCUCUGAAAUUGAUUAUUUGAGACAUGUGAUUUUCGCUAACAGUGUUGUUGUUGAUCAGAAGAAGAUUGAAUCCAUCCUUCAAUGGCCUUUUCCAUCUUCGCUGAAAUCCUUGCGUGGAUUCCUUGGCCUCACUGGAUAUUACAGAAAGUUUGUGCAUGGUUAUGGGCAGAUUGCAAGACCUCUUACAGACAUGCUCAAAAAGGGGGCUUUUCGAUGGACUCCUACAUCUGAAUCAGCUUUCAAAGAACUUAAAAUGGCUAUGACUCGCCCACCAGUUCUAGCACUUCUUGAUUUCUCAAAAAAAGUUUGUGAUCGAGUGUGAUGCAUCGAGAAGUGGCAUUGGUGCAGUCCUCAUGCAAUCAGGACGUCCCUUGGCCUAUUUCAACCAAGCCUUGCAUGGUAAAAAUCUCCAACUCUCUACUUAUGAAAAAGAGCUGCUUGCACUCACCCUUGUUGUUCAGCGAUGGUGUCCUUAUUUGCUUAGCCGCAGUUUUAUAGUUCAAAUUGAUCAUCAUAGUCUGAAAUAUUUGCUUGAGCAAAGGAUGGGAACUCCUUCUCAACAACUCGUCUUAAAACGAAAAAGAAAAAAUCAAAGCCCAUAUAAUUUGCUAAAAUGAAUAUUAUAAAAAAGUUGCUAAAACGAAAUAAUAAAUUAUUAAUAUCGAAGAAAAUAAACAAGUUCUAAUAAAUCGAUAUAUACAUAACCCUCAUCUCAACAAAAAUAAAACCACAACACAAGACAACCCAAAUAUAAUAAUAAAUAAACCUUUAUUUCACCGUAUAAACAAAUAAAUAAAUAAUAGUACUAAAAAAAUCCCUCAAAAAAAGACUCUCAAAAGAGUAACAUGUAUAAAUCCCAUCCCAGUAAACAUAAAAAUAACCAAGAGAAUCUCAGAUCACAAAAACCACCUAGUGCCUCAAAAGAGAAAGCAUAGACAAGAAGAGAGAAGAGCAGAUAAGAGCCCCAGACAUCCCAAGAGAAAAGGAAGCAGCUCCCUUGUCCUUUCCAGGAGCUGGCGCUGGCGCUAACUCUCCAAGAUCUUGGGCGGAAACAGCAACACUGGCAAGCAUUGCCAUGACAACAGCAGCAGCAAACAACUUCAUUGCAGCAAAUGCCAUUGUACAAAAUCGGGUGUCAGGACACGAAAACAAACCCUUUCAAGAGAUAUACUGAGAGCGUAACCAAAUCUUGAAUAUUGUUCAGUGUUCUUGAUCCAGGGUGGUGAUGAGAAAGACGAAGUGGCAAGGGGUGUUUAUAUAGUGAGGGUUGGUGUAGGUUUUCACAAAGAAAACAUGUGGGGUCAUAGAUAACGUGGACAGCUGGAGAGACACGUUGAGGCAGAGAAACACAGAGGCCAGCAAUAAAACGGCUGGUGCUUAAAAAAAAUUUGAUUUUUAUUAACGUUAGCGGACACUUGGAGUCCUCAUUUUAUUUCCCUAUCUUGGUAAACCGUUACCUAACACUAGUUCCCAUGUCAAACACUCAACGUCAUUUGUGUUAACAUGGAAAGUUUACACAAAAAAUUGACUUCAAAUUAAUGGGAUUAAUUUAAGGAGAUCAAAGUUGAAAAACUAAUUUUUAAAUGAUCAUUUACCUGUUUUUUUAAAGACUACGUACUAUAUCUUUGUAGCACUAUUGUCGACCCGGCAAUAUUGAAAGGUAACAUGGUGAUUAAAAACUUCAAAUUAGUGUUUUUGUUCAACAUUCAAUGCAUAUAAAAAAAAAAGAGAACGAAAGCAGUUGAACUAGUCUGUUUGGGAGUAUAAUUAUGUUUGGAAAUAUAGUUAUGGUUAUUUUUUAAAAUAUUUUUCAUUUAAAAAUAUAUCUAAAUAAUUUUAUUUUUUUUUAUAAAUUAUUUUUGACACCAGAACAUCAAAACGAUAUAAAAACAUAAAAAAUAUAUUAAUUCAAAAAAAAAUUAAUUUUUUUAAAAAUAUUUUUAAAAUACAAAAAUAAACAGAAUCUCUUCAACAGACAUGAUGUGUUUUAUUAAUUUUGAAUUAUGGGAUAGUGACCUAAUUAAUUUAACAAUUCAACAUCUUAAUUAAUAUUCUUAAUUAUAAGAGUUUCUUCAUCCGGCCAUGUUUGACGUCCUUUAUUCUAAACUCAUCCAAGCGCUGGUUGUACGUACAAUGAAAUCAACACCAAACAUAUAAAAUAUCAAGAGAGAAGUAGUUCUUUCUCACAUCAACUAAUUAGAGGAGGAAAGUAUUUUUUUGUUUUAGAGAGAGAAAAGAUGGAAAUAAAUUAAUUUUAUUCAAUGUGUGGGAUUGAAAAGAUCAUGAUUAAAUUGACGCUAAGGGUUUAAGUAAUUAUGAUAAAGGAAAAUAAAUUAAUGUGUGGGAUUGAAAAGAUCAAGAUUAAUACGAUCUAUAUUUGUUAAAACAGGACUUACUGAUAAUUUGUCCAAAGAAUAAGGUCAUGUCUGCAAAUAACAGGGUUGCUCUCUUUGUUGAAAUCUAAUAGUUAUCCGCUGUACUGAGUAAAAGCAAUGUGUUGCCGAUGUCAAAUCACACGUUUUAUUCGUACAGUGUUUAUGAGGUAGAGAAUUCAAAUCUUCAUUGUGUUGCUGAUGUCGAUAACAAAUCGGUAUCUGACAUUACAUGCGUUUUAUUCGUACAGUGUUUAUGAGGUAGAGAAUUCAAAUCUUCAUUGUGUUGCCGAUGUCGAUAACAAAUCGGUAUCUGACAUCUGUUUUCGAAAGCCGCUCCAUGGCUGUGUUCACAUAAUCCAUCGAGAUAACCUCAAUAUCUGCCGUGAUGUUGUUCUUGGCAGCAAAA
rnacentral:lncRNA from 1 species